AUUGAACGCUGGCGGCAGGCCUAACACAUGCAAGUCGAACGAGUGGCGGACGGGUGAGUAAUGUCUGGGAAACUGCCUGAUGGAGGGGGAUAACUACUGGAAACGGUAGCUAAUACCGCAUACCAUCGGAUGUGCCCAGAUGGGAUUAGCUGGUAGGGGGGGUAAUGGCUCACCUAGGCGACGAUCCCUAGCUGGUCUGAGAGGAUGACCGGCACAACGGGAACGGAAAAAGGGUCCAGACUCCAACGGGAGGAGGAGGUGGGGAAUAUUGGAAAAUGGGGGAAAGCCUGAUGAAGCCAUGCGGCGUGUAUGAAGAAGGCCUUGGGGUUGUAAAGUACGUUCAGCGGGGAGGCGGUACCCGAAGAAGAAGCACCGGCUAACUCCGUGCCAGCAGCCGCGGUAAUUC
rnacentral:rRNA from 1 species